rnacentral:miRNA from 1 species
AUGAGGUGCUCUGGAGAGUGGA